rnacentral:miRNA from 1 species
AGACUGGUUAAUGAUAACAAUGCACCAUGAAAUCUUCAGAAGGAAAGAAGAAUGUUUGUGGAGCAUUUCAUUUUUCAUGUGUGUGGCAAUUUUAAAUUAUAAGUUUUUUAAUCAAU